rnacentral:lncRNA from 1 species
GAGAACUUUCCUGGUAGGCUUGGAAAUCAUAGAUGUGCUAAUUCCGAGUUCCUUGGAGUUGAGCUUCUUCCAAGCUGAGACCUUUUUCCCUCCUUCCAUUUGGCGCCCUAAAGAGAUUUAUUACCAAAUGGACUGAGAGAUUGGAAAUAGUUCAGUAAAAUCGAAAACAAAAUGACUUGCCUGGGGCAGGAGCAGCAGCACCUGAGCUGUAGUUGGUGCGCUCGUCAAGCAUCUCAACAGCCGCAACAG